rnacentral:rRNA from 1 species
CCCGUCCACCGAAUGCCUAAGGUUUCCUGAGGAAGGCUCGUCCGCUCAGGGUUAGUCGGGACCUAAGUCGAGGCCGAUAGGCGUAGACGAUGGACAACAGGUUGAUAUUCCUGUACCACCUCCCCGCCGUUUGAGCAAUGGGGGGACGCAGAAGGAUAGGGUGAGCGUGCCGUUGGUUGUGCACGUCCAAGUUGUGAGAUGAGAAACGAGGCAAAUCCCGUUUCUAGAUACAUCAAGCAGUGAUG